rnacentral:lncRNA from 1 species
AAAGUUAAAAAAGAAUUAUUUUUCUUUAACCCAAAUUAUUUAAUGCCACAACCACUCACUUUUAUCUCAUUUUUUGUUUCUUAUCAAGUUUGCAUUUCUAUUUUCAAUUCUCUUAACUUCUUUCGAAUUUCAAACUUUCUUUUUUAAAUUACAAUCUUUAAAUCUCAAAGACGUAAAUUAAAAUUUAAAUUCACAAUAUCAAAUUCUCAUAGACGUGAAUUUGUAUAAUUUCAAAAUAUUGUGAUAUUUUUGGGUUGGAUUUAAGAUUUUUUUGGUAGAUAUAAUUGAAAUUGAGAUGAAAUUUAUUUGUUUUAACUUAUAAUUUAAAUAAUUUAUUUUUGAAAAUCCAAAUUAUUCAAAAAUAGUGAACUUUUCAUCAUAUAAAGUUUUAAAUUAGUCCAUUGCAUGUCUUAUUUUGUGCAUAUAUAUAUUUAUAUA